UACAUGUGGGGCAAGCGUUGUUCGGAAUUACUGGGCAUAAAGGGUGCGUAGGCGGCUUGUUAAGUCAGGGGUGAAAGUUUUCGGCCCAACCGGAAAAUUGCCUUUGAUACUGGCGAGCUGGAGUGCGUGAGGGGUGACCGGAACGAGUGGUGUAGCGGUGAAAUGCGUAGAUAUCACUCGGAAGGCCAACGGCGAAGGCAGGUCACUGGUGCGCAACUGCCGCUGAGGCACGAAAGCGUGGGGAGCAAACAGG
rnacentral:rRNA from 1 species